GACGUAGGGGGCAAGCGUUAUUCGGAAUUAUUGGGCGUAAAGCGCUCGUAGGCGGGACUGGAAGUCCGUGUUGAAAGACCUCGGCUCAACUGAGGGACCGGCUCGGAUACUCUAGUUCUUGAGGCAAUCAGAGGGUGAUGGAAUUCCCGGUGUAGCGGUGAAAUGCGUAGAUAUCACUUGGAACGCCAAAGGUGAAAACAGUCUGCUGGGGAUCUGCUGACGCUGAGACACGAAAGCCAGGGGAGCGAACAGG
rnacentral:rRNA from 1 species